rnacentral:rRNA from 1 species
GUAGGUGGCAAGCGUUGUCCGGAAUUAUUGGGCGUAAAGCGCGCGCAGGUGGUUCUUUAAGUCUGAUGUGAGAGCCCCCGGCUCAACCGGGGAGGGUCAUUGGAAACUGGGGAACUUGAGUGCAGGAGAGGAAAGUGGAAUUCCACGUGUAGCGGUGAAAUGCGUAGAUAUGUGGAGGAACACCAGUGGCGAAGGCGACUUUCUGGCCUGUAACUGACACUGAGGCGCGAAAGCGUGGGGAGCAAACAGGAUUAGAUACCCUGGUAGUCCACGCCGUAAGCGAUGAGUGCUAAGUGUUGGGGGGGUUUCCCGCCCCUCAGUGCUGCAGCUAACGCAUUAAGCACUCCGCCUGGGGAUACGGUCGCAAGACUG